rnacentral:snoRNA from 1 species
AGCGUCACUUGUGUUUUAACCUGUGGACUAAGACUUAUAGACAGAUGCAAAACUAAGUCUUUGCCACCCAGAGCACAUGGUUCAGUAUGAGCUUUGAUGCGUACCAGGAGGGUG